GGGUGUGUGGGUCAGUGGUUGAAUACCUGCCUACCAUGCAUGAGGUCCUGGGUUCAUUUCCCAGAACUGCCA
rnacentral:tRNA from 1 species